UACGUAGGGUGCAAGCAUUAUCCGGAGUGACUGGGCGUAAAGAGUUGCGUAGGUGGACAAGUUAGCGAGUAGUGAAAUCAGACGGCUCAACCGUACUGGCUAUUACUCGAACUGCUUGUCUCGAGAAUGGUAGAGGUAACUGGAAUUUCUUGUGUAGGAGUGAAAUCCGUAGAUAUAAGAAGGAACACCAAUGGCGUAGGCAGGUUACUGGACCAUUUCUGACACUGAGGCACGAAAGCGUGGGGAGCGAACCGG
rnacentral:rRNA from 1 species